ACUGAUUUGCCCCUGAACUGAGCCUUGAGGCACUACGCCUGGUACUGCAACCUUGCAGGCCGCUCUACCAACACUAAACAAAAUACCAGGGCAAAU
rfam:Legionella jamestowniensis strain JA-26-G1-E2 Ljam_ctg012, whole genome shotgun sequence.